AUGGUGCGAGUGUGGGGAGCCACGGCCCCUGCCUGCGUCCUCUUCCUCCUGCUGGUGGCCCUGUGUGCCCGGGGUGCCCAGGCUGCGCCAUGGCGACCACCGGGAGCAGAUGAUGACGAUGUUGGCUCUCGAUAUCCAGCUUCUCAGCUGGAUCAUGGUUUGGAGCCUCAGGAGGAUCCCCGAGGCAGUACUGGUCAAGUGCCUCCAUGGAAUCCUGCUCCUGAGCCUGCCAGUAUGGGUCCCACAGGUGCAGUUCUCGUAGGCUCUGGCUACUCGACACCUCAGCCUGAUGUGGACCACGAGCCUCAGGUUAAUCUGCCAGAUGGGACCGAAGGCGAAGGUGAUCCAGGCUCCCAGAUGGGUUCCAGGACUGAAGCUCUGGGAGAUGGCCUGGAAGUGUCCCCAGGGAGGGCUUUGCCAGACCCUCGGCUGCUUCCUGCGCUGGAGCCCAGCUGGUAUCCCAGCAGUCCUCUAACAGCGAAGGACAAUGCUGAAAUAAGAAAAUCUUCCCCAACAUCCCCUGACAUCAUAGAGGAGAUCAUAAAGGAGUUAGAGGAGGCAGCACCUGGUGGGUAUAUUUCACUCUGUCCGCCAUAAGACUUGGGAAGCUGAGGUUCUAAAUCCAUGUGUGGACACACCGUAACCUACACAGCUUGUGUUCACAGCUUGUUGUGAACUUGUGUUCAGCUCCCGCACAGCGCUGCUUGCAGCUGGGCGAGUUCAAGGCAGGAGGCAUAGCCCAAGCAGUGCUGGCUGCCUUUCCCAGUGCUGGCACUCAGGUGGAGAUGCUGCGUUUGCAGACAUUUCUGCUUCUGCUCAAUCUGCAGUUUGAAUGAUGAAUGUAGAAUGUAGAAUGAUCUACAGUUGAUGAAUGAUUCAAUAAGGAAUUAGGCAAUGUCUCCAGAUCAGCUGCCCUUGUCCCUAAGUGUGUGGGUGACUUUGGGUUGCCAGAUGUCAGCAGGGAAGGAUAAGGAGCAGACACAAACAGGUCCAGGAAAUUCCUAAAGCACCUUGAUGAUAACUUCUUGAUCCAGGUACUAAGGGAGCUGACUCGGAAAGGUGCCCUUCUAGAUUGUUGCUUGUAAACUGAGAAUGUCUCCUGCGUGAAGUGGCAAAUGGCAGCCAUCUUGGCUAUGGUGGCCACAAAGACGUCGAGCUUAAAAUCUUUGGCGGUAGUAAGAAAACUGUGAGCAAAACUUCCACCCUGGACAUGGGGGGAGCAGACUUCAGGCUGGGCAAGGAACUAGUUCAUAAGACUCCCUUGGGAAUCUGCUUCUGAAAGUAUCAGGGACCUUCAGUGCUGGUCCCUUUUCAAGAGCCAUCUCUUGAGCGUGCAGGAGCAGGCUAUUCCCAAGUGUCGAAGUCAAGUGGGCAGGGCAGAAGGCUGGCUUGGCUGAGCAUGGAUCUUCGCUUAAAGCCUAGGUGAAAAACAAAAGUUGUGUGGAUACUGGAAACGAGGUCAGGCAAUGCAGGAGGAUUGCAGAGAUGCUGUUCACCAUUGCAGGGAGAAAAUUCAUGUAGCCAGAGCCGAGUAAGGGUAGAAGUUGGUCACUACUGUGGGGGGACAACAGAAAGGGCUAUUUUAAGGAUGUUAACA
rnacentral:lncRNA from 1 species